GCCCAAUAACAGAUAACCUAACUAAUAAUAGUUGAAUAAUGAAACCAAACACAACCAAGUAAUGAUCUUUAAGAAAGCAGCCACACAGUCUCUGUAGUUUGUGUUAUCUAUGGUACCUAGACAAAUUUAGCACAAAAAAUACAUGUUUUUAUAUCAGUUAUAGCACA